GCAAAGCUAUAGAAAUAUAGUGGAGGUUAUCAGGGAUACAGGUGGUGCAUGGUUGUCGUCAGCUCGUGUCGUGAGAUGUUAGGUUAAGUUCUAAAACGAGCGCAACCCCUGUCGUUAAUUGCCAGCACGUUAUGGUGGGGACUUUAGCGAGACUGCCAAUGAAAAAUUGGAGGAAGGUGGGGAUUACGUCAAAUCAUCAUGCCCCUUAUGAUCUGGGCUACAAACGUGAUACAAUGGCUAUUACAAAGAGUAGCUGAAACGCGAGUUUUUGGCAAAUCUCAAAAAAAUAGUCUCAGUUCGGAUUGAAGUCUGCGACUCGACUUCAUGAAGUUGGAAUCGCUAGUAAUCGCGAAUCAGCAUGUCGCGGUGAAUACGUUCUCGGGGUUUGUACACACCGCCCGUCAAACCACGAAAGUGGACAAUACCCGAAAGCGACAGCCUAACUGCGUAAGCAGAGGGAAUCGUCUAAGGUAGGGUCGAUGAUUGGGGUUAAGUCGUAACAAGGUAUCCCUACCGGAAGGUGGGGAUGGAUCACCUCCUUUCUAAGGAAAUUUUUUAAAAUCAUCAUCUUCAGUUUUGAAAGACUUAAGUUAAUUUAAAAAAUAAGUUUUUCGUUUUUCUCAUUAGUUAAUUCUUUUAAUAUAAUAUUCUUUAAGAUUUUAAGGGCCUAUAGCUCAGUUGGUUAGAGCACACGCCUGAUAAGCGUGAGGUCGGUGGUUCAAGUCCAUUUAGGCCCACCAGUCUAAAUGUACUGAAAAUCAAAAAAGUUCUUUGAAAAGUAGAUAAACAACG
rnacentral:rRNA from 1 species